GGGGAUAUAGCUCAGUUGGUAGAGUGCUUGCCUUGCAUGCAGAAGGCCCUGGGUUCAAUCCCCAGCAUGGCCA
rnacentral:tRNA from 1 species